AUUGAACGCUGGCGGAAUGCUUUACACAUGCAAGUCGAACGGCAGCACGGACUUCGGUCUGGUGGCGAGUGGCGAACGGGUGAGUAAUGUAUCGGAACGUGCCCAGUCGUGGGGGAUAACGUAGUGAAAAUUACGCUAAUACCGCAUACGAUCUAUGAAUGAAAGCGGGGGAUCGCAAGACCUCGCGCGAUUGGAGCGGCCGAUAUCAGAUUAGGUAGUUGGUGGGGUAAAGGCCCACCAGCCCAACGAUCUGUAGCGGGUCUGAGAGGACGCCCACGCAAACGGGAACUGUGACCCGGUCAAAACUCCUACGGGAGGCAGCAGUGGGAAUUUUUGGAAAAUGGGCGAAACCCUGAUCCAGCCAUUCCGCGUGCAGGAUGAGGCCCCUGGGGUUGUAAACUGCUUUUGUACAGAACGAAAAGGUUUCUACUAAUACUAGGAGCUCAUGACGGUACUGUAAGAAUAAGCACCGGCUAACUACGUGCCAGCCGCCGCGGUAA
rnacentral:rRNA from 1 species